GUAGGUGGCAAGCGUUGUCCGGAAUUAUUGGGCGUAAAGCGCGCGCAGGCGGUUCUUUAAGUCUGAUGUGGAAGCCCACGGCUCAACCGUGGAGGGUCAUUGGAAACUGGAGAACUUGAGUACAGAAGAGGAAAGCGGAAUUCCACGUGUAGCGGUGAAAUGCGUAGAGAUGUGGAGGAACACCAGUGGCGAAGGCGGCUUUCUGGUCUGUAACUGACGCUGAGGCGCGAAAGCGUGGGGAGCAAACAGGAUUAGAUACCCUGGUAGUCCACGCCGUAAACGAUGAGUGCUAAGUGUUAGGGGGUUUCCGCCCCCCUUAGUGCUGCAGCUAACGCAUUAAGCACUCCGCCUGGGAGUACGGCCGCAAGGCUG
rnacentral:rRNA from 1 species